AUCCGAUGAUGAGGACAGGCGAAUAUGUAUUCUUGUAGUCUCUCCCAAGCUUCUAGGACGGAUUCCAUCCCUAUCUGCUGGAAACUUAAAAUUUUCCCUCGAAGGGC